rnacentral:rRNA from 1 species
CACGUAGGGGGCAAGCGUUAUCCGGAUUCAUUGGGCGUAAAGCGCGCGUAGGCGGCCCGCCAAGCAGGACCUCUAACCUCAGGGCCUAACCCUGAGCCGGGUCCUGGACUGGCGAGCUCGAGUUCGGUAGAGGAAGGCGGAAUUCCCGGUGUAGCGGUGAAAUGCGCAGAUAUCGGGAAGAACACCGAUGGCGAAGGCAGCCUUCUGGGCCGCGACUGACGCUGAGGCGCGAAAGCUGGGGGAGCAAACA